CCUACGGGUGACAGCAGUGGGGAAUAUUGCGCAAUGGGCGAAAGCCUGACGCAGCGACGCCGCGUGAGGGAUGAAGGUCUUCGGAUCGUAAACCUCUGUCAGCAGGGACGAACGGUCACUGUGCUAAUCAGCAGUGAAUUGACGGUACCUGCAAAGGAAGCACCGGCUAACUCCGUGCCAGCAGCCGCGGUAAUACGGAGGGUGCGAGCGUUAAUCGGAAUUACUGGGCGUAAAGCGCUCGUAGGCGGUAUGUCAAGUCAAGGGUGAAAUCCCCGCGCUCAACGUGGGAACUGCCUUUGAAACGGGCAAACUGGAGUGUGGGAGAGGGUAGUGGAAUUCCAGGUGUAGGAGUGAAAUGCGUAGAGAUCUGGAGGAACAUCAGUGGCGAAGGCGACUACCUGGCACAUAACUGACGCUGAGGAGCGAAAGCGUGGGGAGCAAACAGGAUUAGAUACCCGAGUAGUC
rnacentral:rRNA from 1 species